rnacentral:rRNA from 1 species
AGAGUUUGAUCCUGGCUCAGGAUGAACGCUAGCUACAGGCUUAACACAUGCAAGUCGAGGGGCAGCAUGGUCUUAGCUUGCUAAGGCCGAUGGCGACCGGCGCACGGGUGAGUAACGCGUAUCCAACCUGCCUUACACUCUUGGACAGCCUUCUGAAAGGGAGAUUAAUACAAGAUGUUAUCAUGAGUAAGCAUUUUCGCAUGAUUAAAGGUUUACCGGUGUAAGAUGGGGAUGCGUUCCAUUAGAUAGUAGGCGGGGUAACGGCCCACCUAGUCUUCGAUGGAUAGGGGUUCUGAGAGGAAGGUCCCCCACAUUGGAACUGAGACACGGUCCAAACUCCUACGGGAGGCAGCAGUGAGGAAUAUUGGUCAAUGGACGAGAGUCUGAACCAGCCAAGUAGCGUGAAGGAUGAAGGUUCUAUGGAUUGUAAACUUCUUUUAUACGGGAAUAAACGAAUCCACGUGUGGAUUUUUGCAUGUACCGUAUGAAUAAGGAUCGGCUAACUCCGUGCCAGCAGCCGCGGUAAUACGGAGGAUCCGAGCGUUAUCCGGAUUUAUUGGGUUUAAAGGGAGCGUAGAUGGGUUGUUAAGUCAGUUGUGAAAGUUUGCGGCUCAACCGUAAAAUUGCAAUUGAUACUGGCAGUCUUGAGUACAGUUGAGGUAGGCGGAAUUCGUGGUGUAGCGGUGAAAUGCUUAGAUAUCACGAAGAACUCCGAUUGCGAAGGCAGCUUACUAACCUGUAACUGACAUUGAUGCUCGAAAGUGUGGGUAUCAAACAGGAUUAGAUACCCUGGUAGUCCACACGGUAAACGAUGAAUACUCGCUGUUUGCGAUAUACUGCAAGCGGCCAAGCGAAAGCGUUAAGUAUUCCACCUGGGGAGUACGCCGGCAACGGUGAAACUCAAAGGAAUUGACGGGGGCCCGCACAAGCGGAGGAACAUGUGGUUUAA